UAGGGAAUAUUGGACAAUGGGUGAGAGCCUGAUCCAGCCGUGCCGCGUGCAGGAAGAAGGCGUUAUGCGUUGUAAACUGCUUUUUGCCAGGGGAUAAAAAGACCGUGCGCGGUUAAUUGAAGGUACCUGGUGAAUAAGCCACGGCUAACUACGUGCCAGCAGCCGCGGUAAUACGUAGGGACCAAGCGUUGUUCGGAUUUACUGGGCGUAAAGGGCGCGUAGGCGGUGUGUCAAGUCAGUUGUGAAAUCUCCGAGCUUAACUCGGAACGGUCAACUGAUACUGUCACACUAGAGUACAGAAGGGGCAAUCGGAAUUCUUGGUGUAGCGGUGAAAUGCGUAGAUAUCAAGAGGAACACCUGAGGCGAAGGCGGAUUGCUGGGCUGAUACUGACGCUGAGGCGCGAAAGCUAGGGUAGCAAACGGGAUUAGAUACCCAAGUAGUCCCUGAGCGGGCUGGCAAGGCGCAU
rnacentral:rRNA from 1 species